AAGUCGUAACAAGGUUUCCGUAGGUGAACCUGCGGAGGAUCAUUAACACGUAUCGCAACGUUAAACCCCCUGUGGUAAAUCAGUCGCGAAAGUAGUUAUUGAUUCAGGACCUCUGACCAAAAGAUGUGAUUGAGCGCUCGAAGCAAGUGGCCUAGCUUCCCCAAGCGAUCAGUGUUCUGAAAGUGGUCAUUGAUUAUGUGCAAGGAGUGGUCCCCGGGCUCACGCCCCUUCGAAACAACCAGUAGUUAGCGUAUGUCUCCUCGACACAGCAAGUGCGCCGUCGUAGGAGAAAAACCAACAACUGUUAAAUAUCUUGGUUCUC
rnacentral:misc_RNA from 1 species